UCCGUAGGGUGCGAGCGUUAAUCGGAAUUACUGGGCGUAAAGCGUGCGCAGGCGGUUUUGUAAGCCCGAUGUGAAAUCCCCGGGCUUAACCUGGGAAUGGCAUUUGGGACUGCAAGGCUUGAGUGCGGCAGAGGAGACUGGAAUUCCUGGUGUAGCAGUGAAAUGCGUAGAUAUCAGGAGGAACACCGAUGGCGAAGGCAGGUCUCUGGGCUGACACUGACGCUCAUGCACGAAAGCGUGGGGAGCAAACAGG
rnacentral:rRNA from 1 species